rnacentral:tRNA from 1 species
GGAGAGAUGACCGAGUGGCCGAAGGUGCACGCUUGGAAAGCGUGUGUACUCUCACGGGUACCGAGGGUUCGAAUCCCUCUCUCUCCG